rnacentral:misc_RNA from 1 species
UUAAGUUCAGCGGGUAUCCCUACCUGAUCCGAGGUCAACCUUUAAAAAAUUGGGGGUUUUGGCAAGUUACACCCGGACUCCUGAGCGAGAUAAAAUUACUACGCUUGAAGCCGAAUGGCACCGCCACUGUGUUUGAGGUGCACCAGGAGGUGACACCCAAUACCAAGCAGAGCUUGAGGGUUGUAAUGACGCUCGAACAG